UACGUAGGGGGCAAGCGUUGUCCGGAAUCACUGGGCGUAAAGCGCGCGCAGGCGGUCUCUCACGUCCGGGGUGAAAGCCCAGAGCUCAAUUCUGGGAUUGCCUUGGAUACGGGGAGACUUGAGGAUCGGAGAGGCAAGGGGAAUUCCACGUGUAGCGGUGAAAUGCGUAGAGAUGUGGAGGAACACCUGUGGCGAAGGCGCCUUGCUGGCCGAUUUCUGACGCUGAGGCGCGAAAGCGUGGGGAGCAAACAGG
rnacentral:rRNA from 1 species